GAAAGAGAGGAGAGAAGAUACACCGGCAUAGGACGUGAAAAGCCAUCCAGUCGUUGAACGGGUGAGACGCAACAAGAAUAGAAAAGAGCAAGAAUAGUAACUAAAUAUAGCCUCAAUUUACGGUUGGAACAAUAUCGGCAAGGCUGAAAAAGUCUCAAAGGCAAACAAGCAAGUUUAAACUGUUGGACGUUACCCGAAUUUAAGCGACUGGUUAGCAUUUUAUCACUUUGAAAUUAAAUAGGAAUUAAGAGUGGGCUUUGGUGAAAGUGAAAACUAACUAGCUAGCUACGUCCAGUCUGGAUUUUGAGAGUCGAGAGGUUGAUUAAAUUUCAGUGGUGACACGCUGUGAUUCAGACUCACCUGCUUGGACUUUACUCCGCCACCUCCAGACCGGGAACACCGGGUUUUUUUUAUAAAAAACACAGCCGAGCCUGUAGUAUCUGUACACCGAGGAGGAGGAGGAGGGAGGAGGAGGAGGAGAGGGAGAGUACGACAGGCACAAAGAGUGGAGAGCAUCCAGAGAGAGGGGAGGAAGGAGGACGGCACGGAGAGAGCGCGGUGAGGACAACAGAGAGCAUCCCUCUUUAAUUUCUGAUCUGCACACAGGCAACACUCUUCCCAUAAGCGUCAUCUGAAAACGGGAUCCUGAACGCAGUUUAUCCACCAAAAGCGGUGACCCAAAGACUCAUCCAGCAUUGGUUGCUCCUAUCCAGGGAUACCUCCUCCUGAUCUGUUUGCCCCUCAGCCCCUGAAGUACCCAGUCCUCCUCUCAACUCUGUCCUGAUGAAGGAGGCAGACGCCAUCAAACUGUUCGUGGGACAGAUUCCCCGGAAUCUGGAAGAGAAGGACCUCAAGCCUAUCUUCGAGCAGUUUGGAAAGAUCUAUGAGCUAACUGUGAUUAAGGACAAAUACACUGGCAUGCACAAAGGAUGUGCGUUUCUGACGUACUGUGCGAGAGAGUCGGCACUGAAAGCCCAGAGCGCUCUACACGAGCAGAAAACACUACCAGGGAUGAAUCGGCCAAUUCAGGUGAAACCAGCUGACAGCGAGGGCAGAGGAGUUGGUCUCUCAGAGGACCGGAAGUUGUUUGUGGGCAUGCUGGGAAAGCAACAGAGCGACGAGGACGUCAGAAGACUGUUCGAGCCCUUUGGCAGCAUAGAUGAGUGUACUGUGUUGAGAGGACCCGACGGCACCAGCAAAGGGUGCGCUUUUGUAAAAUUCCAAGGACACGCUGAAGCCCAGGCUGCCAUCAACAGCUUGCAUGGAAGCCGCACAAUGCCUGGGGCGUCGUCCAGUCUGGUGGUGAAGUUUGCCGACACGGAGAAGGAGCGGGGGCUGAGGAGGAUGCAGCAGGUGGCCUCCCAGCUCGGCAUCUUCAGCCCUAUGACCCUCAACUUCCCCGCCUACAAUGCCUACACACAGGCGGUCAACGCACAGCUUGUCCAACAGCAGGCCCUGGUUGCCCAGUCAGCGUACUUGUCUCCUGUGGCAACAGUUGCCGCCGUACAGAUGCAGCAGAUGGCGGCGCUCAAUGCCAACGGAAUCAUUGCCACACCCAUUACACCCAUCACGCCGUCCUCGGGUACAAAUACUCCACCAACUAUCGCAGCAACGCCUGUGCCCUCUCUCCCUCCGCCACUAGGAGUGAAUGGUUACAGCAGUCUGCCAGCCCCCACCAAUGGACAACAAGCAACAGAAGCACUAUACACCAAUGGCAUUCAUCCAUAUCAAGCUCAGAGUCCAGUAGCAGCCCUGGACCCGCUACAGCAGGCGUAUGCAGGCAUGCAACACUACACAGGUUGGUCGGCGUAUCCUGCUGCCUACGGAUUGGUCGGACAGCCGUUCCCCCAGCAGCCAACAAUGGUUGCCCAGCAACACCAGCAGCCCCAGCAACAGCAGCAGAGAGAAGGUCCAGAGGGUUGUAACAUCUUCAUCUACCACCUGCCUCAGGAGUUCAGUGACUCUGAGAUGCUGCAGAUGUUCCUGCCCUUUGGCAAUGUCAUCUCGGCUAAGGUGUUUGUUGACCGCGCCACCAACCAGAGCAAAUGCUUCGGAUUUGUGAGUUUUGACAACCCAGCCAGUGCUCAGGCCGCCAUCCAGGCCAUGAAUGGCUUCCAGAUUGGCAUGAAAAGACUGAAAGUGCAGCUCAAAAGGCCCAAAGAUGCCAACCGCCCAUACUGAGUGUCAACUGAGAGGAGGAAUAAGAAAUAAAGAGAGAUCCUUCCGUCCAAUCAUAAUUCACGAGGACCCCAUCGCUAUGGCAAUGGUUGCCUAGUGACCGAUAAAGCCCUGACCCCCCCUUCCUCUCGCAUUGUUGUGACCUUUCAGAGUCCAGCCGAGGUGGAAUCCCAGGGUUCAUAGUGCUUUCAGACUGUCUGCUACCUUUGAGCAUCCGGGGAGUGCAGCCACACACACUGACACACACUCACACGAAUACACAUGUGCUCUCAACACUGAUCCUCGAACGGUGCAAGGCUGAUAUACAAAUGUACAUAAGGUGCACAAACACACACACACACACACACACACACACACACACACACACACACACACACACACACACUUGCAGACACUCACACAAAACACACAUGGUUCACACGAGUCAGUAAUCUUACCCAUACAGCCAAGAGCUUGGUUUGACCACGGUCUGUGUGGAGUUUGCCAACAGGGUGUUUAGUACAGUUAGGCAACUCAGACCGAGCAUGUGUGGAAGUAUGCUGAUAAAAAAAAAUGCUGAUAUAUCACUUCAAUAGACUUUAACAUGUCUAUACCAUGUCUAUUCCAUGACAAAUAUAGAGGGGCCGAUGUUUCAUAAUAAAAAAAGAAAGAAAAACAAAAAAGACGACUAAAUGAGUAGGUUAGAGAGACUUUGGAGAAAAUCCUAAUGACUUGUAAAUAAUUUAGUUUACAAAGAGCGGCAUUUAAAAAACAAGAAAAAAUGCAAAAAGAAUACUACUUUAGAUAAACACUGAACAGGACACAGCGACAUUAUUAUUAUUUAUUAUUAUUAUUAUUAUCAUUCAUAUUAUUAUUAUUAUUAUUAUUAUUAUUACCACUAGUAACAUCAUCAUCCUCAUAAAGGGAUAUUACAUUCCAAAUUGUAAAAUGGGAAAUCACUAACCUACUUUAAAUUUCUACUUAGAUUUUAGGUGAAACUUGGGGGAGGGAGGGGUCGCACUUUUAUUCGGGAGGUUUUAAUAUUUGAGCUAUUUUUUAUUUAUUUACUAAUUUAUCAAUUAUUUUGUUUAUUGGGAGAAGGGGUUUGAGUGGGUUGCAAUAUUUUGAUUUUAGAAUUUUCUAGAGAAAACCUUUUGAGGGCCUGUUUCUGUCAGACUCUUGCAAUCGAGUAAUUAUAAUGUAUGUAUUAAUUAUUACAGCAAUUAUAUUUAUUUCUUAUUUAUUGAAUCCUGUUUUUGAUCCACUCUCUUUUUAAGUUAAAAUAAAAAGUAUCAUACUAAAGGACCUAU